rnacentral:rRNA from 1 species
GGAAUUUUGGACAAUGGGGGCAACCCUGAUCCAGCCAUGCCGCGUGAGUGAAGAAGGCCUUCGGGUUGUAAAGCUCUUUCAGCCGGAAAGAAAUCGUACAGACUAAUACUCUGUAUGGAUGACGGUACCGGAAGAAGAAGCACCGGCUAACUACGUGCCAGCAGCCGCGGUAAUACGUAGGGUGCGAGCGUUAAUCGGAAUUACUGGGCGUAAAGGGUGCGCAGGCGGUUUUGUAAGUCAGAUGUGAAAUCCCCGGGCUUAACCUGGGAACUGCGUUUGAAACUACAAGACUAGAGUGUAGCAGAGGGGGGUGGAAUUCCACGUGUAGCAGUGAAAUGCGUAGAGAUGUGGAGGAACACCAAUGGCGAAGGCAGCCCCCUGGGUUAACACUGACGCUCAGGCACGAAAGCGUGGGGAGCAAGCAGGAUUAGAUACCCUGGUAGUCCACGCCCUAAACUAUGUCAACUAGUUGUCGGGCCUUAACGGGUUUGGUAACGUAGCUAACGCAUGAAGUUGACCGCCUGGGGAGUACGGUCGCAAGAUUAAAACUCAAAUGAAUUGACGG